rnacentral:rRNA from 1 species
GUGGGGAAUCUUGCGCAAUGGGCGAAAGCCUGACGCAGCCAUGCCGCGUGAAUGAUGAAGGUCUUAGGAUUGUAAAAUUCUUUCACCGGGGACGAUAAUGACGGUACCCGGAGAAGAAGCCCCGGCUAACUUCGUGCCAGCAGCCGCGGUAAUACGAAGGGGGCUAGCGUUGCUCGGAAUUACUGGGCGUAAAGGGCGCGUAGGCGGCCAGUUUAGUCAGAGGUGAAAGCCAAGGGCUCAACCUUGGAAUUGCCUUUGAUACUGGCUGUCUUGAGUACGGGAGAGGUGAGUGGAACUCCGAGUGUAGAGGUGAAAUUCGUAGAUAUUCGGAAGAACACCAGUGGCGAAGGCGACUCACUGGCCCGUUACUGACGCUGAGGCGCGAAAGCGUGGGGAGCAAACAGGAUUAGAAACCCGUGUAGUCC